rnacentral:lncRNA from 1 species
CGAGCGGGAGCGGGGGGUUCCCGUGUGCGGGGGGGUCCCAGACGUCUGUGGGUCCUGGGGUCACGUUUGUGGGUCUCAGAGAUGCACUUGUGGGUCCUGGUGGUCCCGGGGUCACGCGUGUGGGUCCCAGGGUUGCAUGUGCAGAUCCUAAACAUACAUGUGUGGGUCCUGGGGUUAUAUAUGUGGGUCUCAGACGUGCCCRUGUGGGUCCCGGUGGUCCUGGGGUCGCGUGUGUGGGUCUCAUACACGCACAUGUGGGUCCUGGUGGUCCUGGGGUCACACAUGUGGGUCCCAGGGUCGCAUAUGCAGGUCCUAGACGUGUGUGUGGGUCCUGAGGUCACAUAUGUGGGUCUCAGACAUGCCCAUGUGGGUCCUAGCGGUCCUGGGGUCACAUAUGUGGGUCUCAGACGUGUGUUCAGGUCCUGGUGGUCCCAGGGCUGCAUGUGCAGGUCCUAGACACGCGUGUGUGGGUCUCGGUGGUGUCCGGGCUGCACGUGUGGGUCCCAGAGAUGCCCGUGCAGGUCCUGGGGGUCUCGGGGUCACGUGUGCAGGUCCUGGGGGGUCCUGGCGUCACGGGCGGGGUCCCCGGGUCGCCUGUGCGGGUCCCCAGGACCCCCCCGUCCGCCUGACACAGCACUCCCGUCCCCUCCUGUCCCCUCCCACCGCCGCGGGCCGAGCCGGCUCUCACCGCCGCUCCCUCAGGUUUCAGCCGAGGCAGCUACACCCAGAACCGCUGGGGCAGCAACACCCGCGACAACAACUCCAGCAACCGGGGCAGCUACAGCCGCAACACCCAGCAGCAGAGCAGCUACAGCCCGGCGCGCACCCAGAGCGCCUACAAGCCCAGCGGCAGCACCCCCCCCACCAGCAGCAGCGCGCCCAGCACCUACAGCCAGGGGCAGCAGCCCAGCUACAGCCAGCCCUACACCCAGGGCGGCUACACCCAGGGCGGCUACACCCCCAGCUACAACUACGGCAGUUACAGCGGUUACAGCCAAAGCUACCCCCAGCCUCCCCCCCCCACGGGGCAGACCUACAAUCAGCAGAACUACAACCAGUACCAACAGGUGAGCGCGGGGACGGCCCGGGGGACGUGGCGAUGGCACGGUGACACACCGAGGGGCGCGGUGACACCCUGGGGGAUGUGGGGAUGGUGUGGUGACACACCGAGGGGCGCGGUGACACCCUGGGGGACGUGGGGAUGGUGUGGUAACACCCCGGGGGACACGGUGACUCUAUGAGGGACAUGGGGAUGGGGUGGUGACAGUGUGGUGACACCUGGGGGGACACAGUGACACCCAGAGGGACAUGAUGAUGGUGUGGGGGACGUGGGGACAGUGUGAUGACACCGCAGGGGACAUGAUGACACCCCAGGGGAUGUGGUGACAGUGUGAUGACACACUAGAGGACACGGCGACACCCUGGGGGACUUGGGGAUGGUGUGAGGGAUGUGGGGACAGUGUG